AUUGAACGCUGGCGGCAUGCCUUACACAUGCCAGUCGAACGGCAGCGGGCCCUUCGGGGUGCCGGCGAGUGGCGAACGGGUGAGUAAUGCAUCGGAACGUACCCGGGAGAGGGGGAUAACCGGCCGAAAGGCUGGCUAAUACCGCAUGAACUCGGAAGAGCAAAGCGGGGGACCUUCGGGCCUCGCGCUCUCGGAGCGGCCGAUGGCCGAUUAGGCUAGUUGGUGGGGUAAAGGCCCACCAAGGCGACGAUCGGUAGCGGGUCUGAGAGGACGAUCCGCCACACUGGAACUGAGACACGGCCCAGACUCCUACGGGAGGCAGCAGUGGGGAAUCUUGGACAAUGGGCGCAAGCCUGAUCCAGCAAUGCCGCGUGGGUGAAGAAGGCCUUCGGGUUGUAAAGCCCUUUCGGCGGGGAAGAAAUCGGUCAGGCGAAUAGUCUGGCCGGAUGACGGUACCCGCAGAAGAAGCACCGGCUAACUACGUG
rnacentral:rRNA from 1 species